UGUAACAAGACUUCCAUUUCAACAGAUGGCUUCCUCGCACUUGAAAUACGUGGGGUUCAUUAUGAGCUGAGUUUGGCUCAGUGAAAAAAAAGGCUAAGACCAAUGUUUCUUAAACUAAGGGUUGGGACCCAAAGUUGGCGCUGGACGCUGCCGGUCCUCCUCUAGUUUGGAGAGCUCAUUCUGUGAUGCUGGAUUCCCCAAAGGGGUUUCUGCUGUGGUGAUGGUCUUGGCCUGGUCCAGCUGAGUCUGUAGCUGGCCCACCUGAAGGUGCCAGCACCAGAGAAAAUAAAAAAUACAUUUUGGUAAAAGGCUCCUCCUGCAGCAGGUCGAUCCUCUGUCUCUUCCCCUUCAGACUGGCCAAACAGCGCUGGAGCUCCGCCCUCAGCUCCCUCACAGCCCAAUCAUCCUUUUCCCCGGACCGCUGGGGGCUGGCCUCAGACACCUCCACCAGUGGAGUACUGCCAAAUUAAACAAAAUAUGGAGAGUCCAGUUCUGGGGAGGAGCAGUCCCGGCUGUCCUCCAGCAUGUCAUCAGGGAGGUCUGUCAGCAGCUUGUGGAGCUAAUGGAGUAGAAAUGGAAAAACACACACCAGCACACAGCCGUGACUCACCACCCUCUCGUUACCUAGUUAAUAACUAACCCUGGACGAAAGCAGAAACCACACAGGGAUCGGGGUGAGAAGACACUGGAGAUAAGAACGAGAAGAAAAAAACGCAGAGACAUCU